UGUGAACCUCCGAGGUGAGCGGACGUGUCUCUGAGCCGCGCCGGCCUGUAUUCUGACCCUCGCGACGUACCGAGACUAGGAUAUUAUUAGAUGUUUUAAUGUAUUACGCUCUUGAUGCAACAAUCAAAAAGUUGUUUGAGUGAGGCAUAAAGAAAACGGGAAUAAUAAGAAAAAAAAGUUAAAACCCCGUUCCUAUAAAUAUUUCAUAGAAUAUUUUUUUGAAAAACCCCAGUGAAUCGAGAAUCAAAAAAAAUAUAUAUCAAUACCUCCCCAUCCCCCCAUUAAAAAUUUUCCAAAGACCAACCAUACCACUCCCCCCUUACCCACCCCUUUCU